AAUGGGUCAGCGACUUAUAUUCUGUAGCAAGGUUAACCGAAUAGGGGAGCCGAAGGGAAACCGAGUCUUAACUGGGCGUUAAGUUGCAGGGUAUAGACCCGAAACCCGGUGAUCUAGCCAUGGGCAGGUUGAAGGUUGGGUAACACUAACUGGAGGACCGAACCGACUAAUGUUGAAAAAUUAGCGGAUGACUUGUGGCUGGGGGUGAAAGGCCAAUCAAACCGGGAGAUAGCUGGUUCUCCCCGAAAGCUAUUUAGGUAGCGCCUCGUGAAUUCAUCUCCGGGGGUAGAGCACUGUUUCGGCAAGGGGGUCAUCCCGACUUACCAACCCGAUGCAAACUGCGAAUACCGGAGAAUGUUAUCACGGGAGACACACGGCGGGUGCUAACGUCCGUCGUGAAGAGGGAAACAACCCAGACCGCCAGCUAAGGUCCCAAAGUCAUGGUUAAGUGGGAAACGAUGUGGGAAGGCCCAGACAGCCAGGAUGUUGGCUUAGAAGCAGCCAUCAUUUAAAGAAAGCGUAAUAGCUCACUGGUCGAGUCGGCCUGCGCGGAAGAUGUAACGGGGCUAAACCAUGCACCGAAGCUGCGGCAGCGACGCUUAUGCGUUGUUGGGUAGGGGAGCGUUCUGUAAGCCUGUGAAGGUGUGCUGUGAGGCAUGCUGGAGGUAUCAGAAGUGCGAAUGCUGACAUAAGUAACGAUAAAGCGGGUGAAAAGCCCGCUCGCCGGAAGACCAAGGGUUCCUGUCCAACGUUAAUCGGGGCAGGGUGAGUCGACCCCUAAGGCGAGGCCGAAAGGCGUAGUCGAUGGGAAACAGGUUAAUAUUCCUGUACUUGGUGUUACUGCGAAGGGGGGACGGAGAAGGCUAUGUUGGCCGGGCGACGGUUGUCCCGGUUUAAGCGUGUAGGCUGGUUUUCCAGGCAAAUCCGGAAAAUCAAGGCUGAGGCGUGAUGACGAGGCACUACGG
rnacentral:rRNA from 1 species